rnacentral:rRNA from 1 species
GAUGAACGCUGGCGGCGUGCCUAAUACAUGCAAGUCGAGCGAACAGACGAGGAGCUUGCUCCUCUGACGUUAGCGGCGGACGGGUGAGUAACACGUGGAUAACCUACCUAUAAGACUGGGAUAACUUCGGGAAACCGGAGCUAAUACCGGAUAAUAUAUUGAACCGCAUGGUUCAAUAGUGAAAGACGGUUUUGCUGUCACUUAUAGAUGGAUCCGCGCCGCAUUAGCUAGUUGGUAAGGUAACGGCUUACCAAGGCAACGAUGCGUAGCCGACCUGAGAGGGUGAUCGGCCACACUGGAACUGAGACACGGUCCAGACUCCUACGGGAGGCAGCAGUAGGGAAUCUUCCGCAGUGGGCGAAAGCCUGACGGAGCAACGCCGCGUGAGUGAUGAAGGUCUUCGGAUCGUAAAACGCUGUUAUUAGGGAAGAACAAAUGUGUAAGUAACUAUGCACGUCUUGACGGUACCUAAUCAGAAAGCCACGGCUAACUACGU